rnacentral:tRNA from 1 species
GCCGGGGUGGCCGAGCGGCCCAAGGCGCGGGACUUGAGAUCCCGUCCCCGUUCAGGGGGCGUGGGUUCAAAUCCCACCCCCGGCG